GCGUGAGUGAUGAAGGCCUUAGGGUUGUAAAGCUCUUUCGCCUGAGACGAUGAUGACGGUAUCAGGAGAAGAAGCCCCGGCUAAUUCCGUGCCAGCAGCCGCGGUAAUACGGAAGGGGCUAGCGUUGUUCGGAAUUACUGGGCGUAAAGCGCGCGCAGGCGGUUAGACAAGUGAGGCGUGAAAGCCCUGGGCUCAACCUGGGAAUUGCGCUUCAGACUGUUUGACUGGAGUUCGGGAGAGGGUGGUGGAAUUCCCAGUGUAGAGGUGAAAUUCGU
rnacentral:rRNA from 1 species